rnacentral:rRNA from 1 species
UACGUAGGGUGCGAGCGUUAAUCGGAAUUACUGGGCGUAAAGCGUGCGCAGGCGGUUUUGUAAGUCUGACGUGAAAUCCCCGGGCUUAACCUGGGAAUUGCGUUGGAGACUGCAAGGCUGGAGUCUGGCAGAGGGGGGUGAGAAUUCCACGUGUGAGCAGUGAAAUGCGUAGAGAUGUGGAGGAACACCGAUGGCGAAGGCAGCCCCCUGGGUCAAGACUGACGCUCAUGCACGAAAGCGUGGGGAGCAACAGGAUUAGAGUACC